rnacentral:lncRNA from 10 species
CACCAAGAAGGCUAAAGAUUGGCAAUUGGAAGAGGGAAAGCCAAGGAGAAGUUAGCAGGGAAGGCCUGGGAGCCCAGGGGGAAGGGAACUGAGAGACUCUAAGAACACAGUGCAGGAAAUCAGAGGGGAAGUCAUGGAUCUAAUAAUGCCCCAAGCCCUUAUACUUUCCCACAGGCGUCUGGGGCCUGACCCCCAAGUCGGAUUGAGCCACCCACCCAGAUGAUAGCUGGCCUCUAAGCUGAGGGGCCUGGGGAGGCUUCAGUGAUCCCUCUGCUGUAAAUGUUGCCUCGGCUGACCUAUAACUCUGGGGCUGUGGAGAUAAGAAAACUGAAGCUCGGAAUCUGAGUCCACAGUCCUGGCUAACUCUACAGUCCAACUCUUGCAGCCAGGCCUGAAACCCUGUGACACUGCUGUCAACACAAGUUUCCGCACACGGGAAGUGCUCAGCAAUGUUAGCUGGCACAAAUUAUGCCAGCAAGUCCUCUGGACUCUCCCUUCAUCCCACCUUUACUAAGUAUUGCCUGGUUGCCAGGAACUGUGCUGGAUUCUAGGAAUGUCUCCAAAGCCUGGCAUGAAACCCACUGGCCUCCCUCUGGAGAGGCUGUCACAGGCCUCUGGGCAUCCUUUAAUCUCUGCAGCCACAGUGCCUGAUGCAAUGGCUGAUCCUGCAUUAGUGAGCAGUGUUUAGGAAAUGGGUUUAUGAAUAAAUCACAUAUGAAUAAACAAGGGAUGAGUGGGCAGCUGGAUAGAUGGACAGAUGGAUGGAUGUACAAAUAGAGUAUAUUAUGUUGCACAUACAUUUUAAGCCUCCUCUGGAGUAUCUCUCAUAGUGCCUUUAAUUUUAUAGUGUCAUUCUCAUCUCUCUAUGAUUUUUUUCUCUAUUUUUUUUUAUUUGGUCUAGGUCCAGGGCAAAUAGGGUAGGGGAGUCGGAGCUGGCCAUGCUGGAGGUUGGAAAGGUGUUAACAAGCUAUAAAUGACCUUCCCUGGCCUAUUCAGGCAUAAGUAAUGUCUCCAAAUUGCCUACAGUCAAAACUGCCAAUUCCAAGCUGAUUGCAAUGAAUCAGGCUCCCCCUAUACGCAAUAAUGUGAUCAAUUUCUCAUUUCGCUGAAUAAAUAAGCUGGAAGAUGGGGAACUGUCUCUGACCCACCGUUAACCUUCUGCCUCGUUAUUCAUAUCAGACCUAUGACAUACAUGUAAGAAAUCCCUGGUUCAAUUUUAGCUAAUUAUUUGUUAGGAAUGAAGGCUCUGUGAAGUGUUACUGAUGGUACAAGUGUCCAGGGACCUCCGGGCCGAGAAAAUCAGGCUGAGAAAACCUUUGUCUAGAAAGAGGAAGGCUGGGAAGCAGCUUCCUUUUCUUUCCCCAGCCAAAAGCUUAGUGUUGGUGUGUUCAUGUGUUUGUGCACAUUUAUUUGCUUCCAACUGUGAUGCCCUGGGAAUUUAUGACAGUGUUGACUAUUGUUAUCUUACAUCUUCUUAUUGUAAUUAGUGCAGAUCACCCUCACAGAUCAAUUCCUUCAUUGGGAGUAAAUGCUGCAAUAGUCUUUCCCCUCCCCCCUGCCCCACACACUGUCCCCCUGGUGUGGACAUUGAGGGACCAGAGCUUUGGGAAACAUUAACAAUGUUCAUUUAAUUGGCUGGCUGCCUCUAGAGAGAUUUCUGGGGAUGCUGCAGAAUUAUGUUUGUGCUUACUGGGAGGGGUGAAGCCCAUGCAGUGGCUUUGGCAGGUGCUGCCUGCAGAAGUGCCAGACUCUGUUGACCUGGUCCAGGGGACAAUGGUGGCUUCCUUCCCUGAAACAGGGCACUGGUGGUGGGACCCUGGACCCGCCCCAGAGGCAGCUUGGAUGGAAGGUUAUGACUGUUUGCCCUUGCCAGGGCUCUAUCUGAAAUCAGCUUGGUAAUUCCCUUGAAAUCUCCCAAGACUAGCAGAAAACAUGCUAUUCUUAGGAGCAUUUGUGUUUCCUUAAGAGAAUAAAAG